rnacentral:rRNA from 1 species
UACGAAGGGGGCUAGCGUUGCUCGGAAUCACUGGGCGUAAAGGGCGCGUAGGCGGCUGAUUUAGUCGAGGGUGAAAGCCUGUGGCUCAACCACAGAAUUGCCUUCGAUACUGGUUGGCUUGAGACCGGAAGAGGACAGCGGAACUGCGAGUGUAGAGGUGAAAUUCGUAGAUAUUCGCAAGAACACCAGUGGCGAAGGCGGCUGUCUGGUCCGGUUCUGACGCUGAGGCGCGAAAGCGUGGGAGCAACAGG